UAAAAAAGAAGGAGCAUGAGACUUUUGAGAUUGGGUGCACCCACUUAUGUUUUCAGUUUCAGUUAUUUUUCACCUUUAAGAUGUGACUCAUACCUUAAGUUGAAACAGUCUGUCAGAAGCCUGUGGCCAAGUGGUACUUCAAAGUUCACUAAUUUAGGCAUUGUUAGAAGAUUUGUAUUUCUUUAAAAAGCAAUAAAAAUCAUUACCAGUACAACUUCUUCAUCAUUUAAUAUAGUCUUCAUGCUUUCUUUAAAGUUGUUUCUUUUUCUUCCAUACUGCUCCUGUCUUGGUUUAUUUUUGACUUGGUCUUUU
rnacentral:lncRNA from 12 species